rnacentral:rRNA from 1 species
GAUGAACGCUGGCGGCGUGCCUAACACAUGCAAGUCGAACGAAGCAUCUUGCCCGACAAAGAGGAGAGCUUGCUCAAAUCGGAGUCAAUUAAGAUGACUUAGUGGCGGACGGGUGAGUAACGCGUGGGUAACCUGCCUCACACAGGGGGAUAACAGUUAGAAAUGACUGCUAAUACCGCAUAAGCGCACACUAUCGCAUGAUAGAGUGUGAAAAACUCUGGUGGUGUGAGAUGGACCCGCGUCUGAUUAGCCGGUUGGCAGGGUAACGGCCUACCAAAGCAACGAUCAGUAACCGGCCUGAGAGGGUGAACGGCCACAUUGGGACUGAGACACGGCCCANACUCCUACGGGAGGCAGCAGUGGGGGAUAUUGCACAAUGGGGGGAAACCUGAUGCACCGACGCCGCGUGAGUGAUGAAGUAUUUCGGUAUGGUAAGCUCUAUCAGCAGGGAAGAAAAUGACGGUACCUGACUAAAAAGCUCCGGCUAAAUACGUGCCAGCAGCCGCGGUAAUACGUAUGGAGCAAGCGUUAUCCGGAUUUACUGGGUGUAAAGGGAGCGUAGACGGUGAUGCAAGUCUGAUGUGAAAGGUGUGGGCUCAACCCGCAAACUGCAUUGGAAACUGUAUGACUGGAGUGUCGGAGAGGUAAGUGGAAUUCCUAGUGUAGCGGUGAAAUGCGUAGAUAUUAGGAGGAACACCAGCGGCGAAGGCGGCUUACUGGACGAUAACUGACGUUGAGGCUCGAAAGCGUGGGGAGCAAACA